rnacentral:misc_RNA from 1 species
GAUGAAGAACGUAGCGAAAUGCGAUAAGUAAUGUGAAUUGCAGAAUUCAGUGAAUCAUCGAAUCUUUGAACGCACAUUGCGCCCUUUGGUAUUCCGAAGGGCAUGCCUGUUCGAGCGUCAUUUCACCACUCAAGCCUGGCUUGGUAUUGGGCGCCGCGGUCGAUCCGCGCGCCUCAAAGUCUCCGGCUGAGCUGUCCGUCUCUAAGCGUUGUGAUUUCAUUAAUCGCUUCGGAGUGCGGGCGGCCGCGGCCGUUAAAUCUUUCACAAGGUUGACCUCGGAUCAGGUAGGGAUACCCGCUGAACUUAAGCAUAUCAAAAGCGGAGGA